GGGGCAUUACUAACGCCACAAGUCUCCUUGGGAUAAAGGAGACACACCCCACCCCAACAUGACAAAUCGUUUGCAGAUGAUCGUGAAAAAUAUCUACAUAUACUGAUACCACAUGUUACGAAAACCUCAAUCUAUGUCAGUUUCACUGCACAUGCUAUUGUCAGUCAAAAGCAAUGAACUUGCACUGGUCUACAUAAUAGCAGUACUAUCAAUUACCUAGUUGACUAUAUACUAUAUACAAGCCUCUACUGAAAUAAAUAUGAUCAGCUGAAAUGUGAACUUUACCCCUGUGUCAGUUCAAUAUCCAACCGAUCACGAAUACGUGUCGCCAGAUGCGAUAAAAUACCAGUUUCUAGCGAAAUAACUAGUUUCUAGCUGAAAUGUGAACCUUACCCCUGUGUCAGUUCAAUAUCCAACCGAUGACGAAUAAGUGUCGCCAGAGGCGAUAAAAUACCGUAUUAUACCAGUUUCUAGCGAAAUAAAUAUCAUCAGCUGAAAUGUAAACCUUACCCUUGUGACGGUUCAACGUCCAGCGAUGACGAAAAAGUAAGAUAAAAUACCUAGGUAAUCGCCAGUUUCGGGCGAAAUAAACAUGCAUGAUCAGCUAAAAUGUGAACCUUACCCCUGUUUCAGUUCAACAUCCAGCCGGCAAUGGAAAGGACAGAUAGCCCGCUUCACCACUGAUAAAUACCGAAAUUUCCAGUCACGUGACUAUACCUAAAUUAACUUGCGCGCGCAAAUUACUUAUUUCGCAUAAUUAAUUUCAACCAUAAAUUAUUCCGGGAAGCAAUAAAAACUCUUAUCGCUGUGGCAAUAAGUUCCUUUAAUUUUAACAUAAUUACAUUCAAAUUUUGUUGGACUUUUGAUCACCUGAUGGAGAUCAACCCCCGGGAGUGUAACGUAGAUUAUUAGUUUAAGCGAUAUUUUUGUCGCGAUUAUUUUGUGUUGUUAUUGCCCGUAUAAUUUUCGCGCGUUUUAGAAUAAAUUAAUUACAUAUUCAUAACAAUGACCUCCAACUCCAAAAUAGGAGGAACAGAGUCACAGAUAAUUGUGACUUGUAAUUCCAAGACAAGUUCACAAUUAAACUCAUUAGACGGCCGCAAGUUACAGGUUCAUGCAUUUGCCACAAAUUAUAGUAAUCUAACAAUGUAAGCCUGUAAAAUGCUACAUGUGUAUACUAGACACAGCAAGUGAAUUAAAACCUAUGGUGUAGUGUCGGAUACUAACAGGCCUGGGGGGCUUUCAAAGGGAGUUGGGUGACAACAUGAAAAGUAUUUGGUUCUAGCAAUUCUUGAAUUAGUGUCUUUUGAAGUUAAGAAGAAGGGAUUUGACUUGAAAUUAAAGUUCCGAUAUAGCGCUGGCCCGCUUCUCUUCACUCACGGAAACAGUGGGAAUAUAUGCUAGUGCCUUUCUUAUAUAAAUAUGUCAAAAUAGCAGAUGGAACCUAUAUUCCCACAGCCUGUAUUGUCAGAAUUGCAUAAAAAUAAUUUGUUGUUAUUUAUUCAAGUACAUAAAAAGUAGUUCACACUAGUGUUGCCGAAGUGUUCUUCAAGGAUCUCAAGAAUAUAUAUACUGCACUGACAGUUGUUGGACCAUAUAUAAUUGAAUCAUUCAUAUCGAUGUAAAAGGUACAAAAGGUAAACGUUUUCACUGAAUCGAGACAUGACAUGAAAGUUCUUCUUACGUCACACAAUCAGCUUGAGUCAGCUUGUCAGGAAACAUUGAUCUUAUUGAUGUAAUUGUAUUUCCAUUGCAGUGACAGAAACAAAUUUUCUCCUGAGAACAAUUCCCGAUGUAUACUGCCGAUUUUUUUUAGAUAUAGCCUAUAGGUAUAUAGGCUACUGUCGCUAUAAUUUAUAAUAAUGGCAAUUUUCCACCAAAAUGCGCACGAUUCAGACUUUGAGGUCUUUGAAAAACUCACUCGUGCAUGUUAUAUCCAAAUUGCACUCGAAACCAUGCUAUUACCUAUACAAAGUGUCGUCAACAAUUUGAAUAGAAAUUUGUAUAUAUCAACGAUAAACUUUCAAUUGAAACCUUGUCUUGAUAAAUGUCUUGACAUGAAUCGACGACAACGUGAAUUCACUGCUCUGCAAAGUCACUCGUUGUCUCUAAACAAUCCCAGUAAAUCGCUGCGUCGGCUCUCGAUAACGUUCUCAGCUCCUUAGUCAAAGUUCCCUUUGUAUUUGCAAUGUUGAAGACCAGGAUUAUUCGUUAAUUUUACAGUUUUACUCGUCUUGUAACUUGUAAGCCAUCGCGAUCGUGUUGAAAACAAAAUUUUCUUCACUCCUUGCCGUAAGCCCUUCCUACUCCCCCUAAGUUUGAGUUUGUCGAAAUUUGCAUGCGCGAGCCGG